rnacentral:rRNA from 1 species
CCUACGGGAGGCAGCAGUGAGGAAUAUUGGUCAAUGGACGAGAGUCUGAACCAGCCAAGUAGCGUGAAGGAUGACUGCCCUAUGGGUUGUAAACUUCUUUUAUAAAGGAAUAAAACGAGGCACGUGUGCCUUUUUGCAUGUACUUUAUGAAUAAGGAUCGGCUAACUCCGUGCCAGCAGCCGCGGUAAUACGGAGGAUCCGAGCGUUAUCCGGAUUUAUUGGGUUUAAAGGGAGCGUAGAUGGGUUGUUAAGUCAGUUGUGAAAGUUUGCGGCUCAACCGUAAAAUUGCAAUUGAUACUGGCAGUCUUGAGUACAGUUGAGGUAGUCGGAAUUCGUGGUGUAGCGGUGAAAUGCUUAGAUAUCACGAAGAACCCCGAUUGCGAAGGCAGCUUACUAAACUGUAACUGACACUGAGGCACGAAAGCGUGGGGAGCAAACAGGAUUAGAUACCCCAGUAGUC